UGGGGAAUAUUGCACAAUGGAGGGAACUCUGAUGCAGCGACGCCGCGUGAGUGAUGAAGGAAUUCGUUUCGUAAAACUCUGUUCUAUGGGAAGAAAAGGACUGUACCAUAGGAGAAAGCUCCGGCUAAAUACGUGCCAGCAGCCGCGGUAAUACGUAUGGAGCGAGCGUUGUCCGGAAUUAUUGUGCGUAAAGGGUGCGCAGGCGGCUUUACAAGUUGGAUGUGAAAUAUUGUGGCUCAACCACAAACGUGCAUCCAAAACUGCAAAGCUUGAGUUAAGGAGAGGUAAGUGGAAUUCCUGGUGUAGCGGUGGAAUGCGUAGAUAUCAGGAGGAAUACCGGUGGCGAAGGCGACUUACUGGACUUAAACUGACGCUCAGGCACGAAAGCGUGGGGAGCAAACAGG
rnacentral:rRNA from 1 species